GAUGAACGCUGGCGGCGUGCCUAAUACAUGCAAGUCGAGCGAAUGGAUUAAGAGCUUGCUCUUAUGAAGUUAGCGGCGGACGGGUGAGUAACACGUGGGUAACCUGCCCAUAAGACUGGGAUAACUCCGGGAAACCGGGGCUAAUACCGGAUAAUAUUCUGAACCGCAUGGUUCAAAAUUGAAAGGCGGCUUCGGCUGUCACUUAUGGAUGGACCCGCGUCGCAUUAGCUAGUUGGUGAGGUAACGGCUCACCAAGGCAACGAUGCGUAGCCGACCUUAGAGGGGUGACGGCCAAACUGGGACUGAGACACGGCCCAGACGCCGACGGGAGGCAGCAGUAGGGAAUCUUCCGGAAUGGACGAAAGUCUGACGGAGCAACGCCGCGUGAGUGAUGAAGGCUUUCGGGUCGUAAAACUCUGUUGUUAGGGAAGAACAAGUGCUAGUUGAAUAAGCUGGCACCUUGACGGUACCUAACCAGAAAGCCACGGCUAACUACGUGCCAGCCGCCGCCGUAA
rnacentral:rRNA from 1 species